rnacentral:tRNA from 1 species
AGGAAGUUAGUCUAAUCAAGACAGUUGGCUUCGGCCCAACAAAUUAUAGAUCCACCUAUAACUUCCUC